rnacentral:rRNA from 3 species
AAAACUAGCCAGUCUUUUGGGUAUGAAACCCAUUUGGGCGAGAGUAGUACUAGGAUGGGUGACCUCCUGGGAAGUCCUCGUGAAAGGUUUUC